GGAGGGCAAUUGGGGAUUAAAUGAUGUUGAGAUUGGGCUACUUUGAGUUGUUGCUAAAGUAGCUGACACUGCCCUUUUGGGAGUAUAAGCUAGAAACGGAGGAGAUCUCUUUGAGAGAGGUUCUGCAGAUUCUGCAUUACCAUCAAACAAUAUCUCACUAGAUUGCUCUGUUACCGUACUGUCGGCACGAUGGAACUGUGGACGAUCGGUUUUUACAGAAGAGUGCCUUAUAAUAGGUUCAUUCGACCAAAAUGAAACGUUCGAUGGAUUUUUCCUGCUCAGAGGAGGACGUUUCUUCCUUGAAGACUCUCCUUUCUGUCUA